rnacentral:lncRNA from 1 species
AUCGAUUGCAUUCAGCAAUAGUUGAUUUUUGACACCAUUAUUUUAGACCCCAUCACCUGAAGUUGUAACCAAAAUUACAUCCACAAACUUCCUUCUCACAUCUUACGGGUUCGUCUCCAUAAAUGGGACCAUGUGCAAGUGCUUUCAUGUUUUUUCUGCCUUCAUGUACCUACCUUGAGGUGACUGCUUGCAUUAAGAACUUAAGAUUUAAGAAUCGAUUUAUUACACAGUGCCAUUAGCAGCUGGUGUCUGGUACACAACAAUAUUGACCUUGUAGACCCA